rnacentral:piRNA from 1 species
UCAAAACCAUGCGCUGCUGAGGAAGC